CAGCUCCUGGUUUAGUGGCCCGCACACGGGACACCCACACCUGUGAAGAAAUCUGUGGCUGGCAAAGAGCUAACAGACUCAACAGUCACAGUGUGAACUGCCCUUAUGGACAGAGCAGCUUAACAAAGACUUCAAAAUCAGUGCGCAGUAUAUAUACACUCGGAGUCGCAGGGGCCGGGACUGGAGAGGAGCAAAGGAUUAAUACUCAGAAUGUAUCAAAAAUGUCUGUAAAUCCAAACCAAAAAGUAACCUAAUGGGAAAAUAGUCAUACUAUCUGAGCAAGUAACUUACAGGAGAAGAAACCUAAAUGAUGAACAAACAGGAAGACAUGAGCCUCGCUAGUAUUCGGGGGUGCAGGCUGAUGGGA
rnacentral:sRNA from 1 species